CGACCCUUGUGAGGAUAAGCGGCUCAGAUAAUGGAUUGAUGGAUAACCCACAAUUCCUUGCGCGGCGUGCUGGCUGAGCUAGCAAAACAAUCCAUUCGUGUUCAGUUACCUUGUGCUCCACCGUGUGUUGCAUUACGCAAAAACUUUAUGAAAAUGACCACACCGCUCACAAAUACCACAGGGUCGCGGGGCACUGGAGCCUAUCCCAGCUGACUUCGGGUGAAAGGCGGACUUCACCCUGAACUGGUCGCCAGUCAGUCGCAGAUGGCCAGCUGUGAUCAGUGAGCCCUAUAAGGAGAUGGGGCUUCAUGGAGAACACACCUCAUCCACCUGCUGAGAAAUUGCAGGCGCAGACAAUAAAGUGGUGCACAGCAUGAAGGAAAAAAAAAACAUUUGGAUGUGCCAAGUGUGAUUGUUUCAACUAAUAGGCAUCAACAGGCCAACUUCUCCCAGUUACCAUACAGGUGAACUCAUUCCUGGGAAAAUGUUUUUCUCUUUCUCAGCCUUGUAGGCGCGAUGGCGUCCCCCUUUUUCCUUGCUCUAACGGGAUUAGUCGUGCCAGUGCUACCCCGGCUGUCACGGUACUGUCUACUUCCCAUCUCUCUUCUGGGCCUCUAAUGUGAUUAACCCAUUCCCUGUGGUCCAAAUGGUUCUGAAGUGGGGGGAGCGGGGGGCACCUCCUUGGCAUGUUCGCCAUGAUGCCCAACUCGCAGUCAUUGGCACCUUUUGUCAGGGAGGAAGGACAGGUCAACUUAGUGCUAAGUCACAAGGAAGGGAAUUCUUUCUCUCUUCUAACACUGAUCAUUUUUAAACAAAUACCUAACCACAUGUUUAACAUUAGACUGACUAACAUAUGGAUGUUUUCAUGCAUGUAAAAGCAUCUUCUCGUCUACCUAUUCAUUCAUACACCUUCAUGGAAAUCUCCAAAGGCAUGUUUGUACGGUGGACUCAACAGUGAAGUUUAACUGCUCGCUUAGACAAUAAUAAUUGCCGACGCCCAUCACCUUGUCAAACGUCAGUGUCGCGGGGGCUUCGCCUGUUUAACACGCGUCACGCUCAUUUUCCACUCAAGUCGUCUUAGGGGCACUAUUGCAAGCAGAGAACCACAUGCCCUUUGCCACUCCUCACAGGGAGCGCUCUCGCCGCCACAGGGCUACAUCCAGAAAUCACCUUGACAUUGACAAACACUUGUCACUUCGUGUUAUUUUUUAUGGAGUGGGAUGUAGUGCAGCUUCUCUGUGAAAUAAGUAGUAGGAAAUUUGAGGGCUGAUUAUUGUUCAGCGGACACCUGUUUGCAAGGCCGGUAAGGAAAUAUGUCUUCGUGUAAUGCUGGAAAAAAAAAAAGUGUGUUUUUGUAGUGGUAUACUAACUUGCCUAAUAGGAAAGACAUGUCAUUGACACUGUAGUUUUGUUGCACAUAGGGUUCCCCCAACUUCUGGAAAUUCUUGAACAUUUGAAUGUCAUUUCAAGUUUAUGGAUCAAAAAUUGCUUGUAUUUUAGAUAAAAUGCUUCAACAUGAGGACACUUUUUGCUUGUUUUGUGGAGAAAUAAACAGAUUUCCUACCUAA